rnacentral:rRNA from 1 species
CCUACGGGUGGCUGCAGUAGAGAAUCUUCGGCAAUGGGGGGAACCCUGACCGAGCGAUACCGCGUGAAUGAAGACAUACUUCUAGUACGUAAAAUUCUUUUAUUUAGGAAGAACAUAUAGUAUAGGAAAUGAUAUUAUAGUGACGGUACUAAAUGAAUAAGCCCCGGCUAACUAUGUGCCAGCAGCCGCGGUAAUACAUAGGGGGCAAGCGUUAUCCGGAAUUAUUGGGCGUAAAGGGUGCGUAGGCGGUUUUUUAAGUUCAAGGUUUAAAUCCAAAGCUCAACUUUGGAACGCUUUGAAAACUGGGAGACUAGAGAUAGGUAGAGGCAAGUGGAAUUCCAUGUGUAGCGGUAAAAUGCGUAAAUAUAUGGAGGAACACCAGUGGCGAAGGCGGCUUGCUGG